AUUGAAUUGUCAGAAUAGUGAGUUAAAUUUAGAAUUUAAAUAAGCAAUCGAAAUUGCAUUCAAUA
rnacentral:tRNA from 1 species